GGAGGUGGACCGUGGCUCAGUGGUAGAACAUCUGCUUUGCAUGCAGAAGUUUCCAGGUUCAAUCCUAGAAUCUCCA
rnacentral:tRNA from 1 species